rnacentral:rRNA from 1 species
GACGAACGCUGGCGGCGUGCCUAACACAUGCAAGUCGAACGAGGUCCAAGGAAGCUUGCUUCCUGACGACCUAGUGGCGAACGGGUGAGUAACACGUGAGAAACCUGCCUCGGAGUGGGGAAUAACUCGGGGAAACUCGAGCUAAUACCGCAUAUCUUCACAUGAUCGCAUGGUCGAGUGAAGAAAGAAUUUCGCUUUGAGAGGGUCUCGCGGCCUAUCAGCUUGUUGGUGGGGUAACGGCCCACCAAGGCAACGACGGGUAGCUGGUUUGAGAGAACGAUCAGCCACACUGGGACUGAGACACGGCCCAGACUCCUACGGGAGGCAGCAGUGGGGAAUCUUGCGCAAUGGGCGAAAGCCUGACGCAGCAACGCCGCGUGCGGGAUGACGGCCUUCGUGGUUGUAAACCGCUUUCAGCAGGGACGAAAAUGACGGUACCUGCAGAAGAAGCCCCGGCUAACUACGUGCCAGCCGCCGCGGUAA